AGGAGCCCAAAACUCAACCCUUAUACUAAGAUCGUGGUUUACUAUAUAGUUUUUGAAAACAUUGUUCAAGUCGAGUUUCUCAUAUAGUCAUGGUUUGCUGUAUCGGUCGAGAUCGUAUUGUACUAGUCCGUAAUGUACCAUAUCAGAUGUACCGUACUGGUGCCGAGCUGGUAUGCUAUCUCAUAUCGUACCGACACUCGAUAUGCUAUCUUGUACCAUAUUGCACUGUGUACCAACACUUUAGGAUGGUAGUGGUAAGGGGUCCGGUAUCGAGACGGUGAACUUUGCACAUAAUGUCCCCAUUUUACAACCCAUUUCUUGGUGCUUAAUUUUCUUUUGUUGUUUUUGGAUGCUACUUUUUAGUUCACAUUCUUACAGAUCAUAAUUGUAGUCAGGAAGGUCAAGAAUUCAAGUUAUUAAGUAGUUAAGAACAAAUAUAAAGAGAAAAUAAAAGGAAUCUAAAUGUUGCUUUCUUUACCAAGUGAAGCAUAUGAUAAAAUGUUAAAAAUGAUGAUAUUAUCAGGUUUAGGUAUGCUGGCAUGUUAUUCUUUUGCUUGGAGGAACAAGGUGUGAGUAUCAUUUUACUUUGUGCUACUCGUCAUGCGUCAUAUUUUUAUUUUGAGAGAUUCAACAUAUAGUUGGAGACUUGGAGCUACUGACACCACUAAGUAAGCAUUUAGCAACACCAACAGUUUCUUAAUGGUUUAUAUGCUUAAUUUUUAUUUAAAAAGAUAAAUAAAGAGAACAUUUUAAUUUUUCAAGAAUAUCAUUUUUCAAGCUGUUCUCUUUCCUUUUUUGCUCUUUUGUUGUUCAUAUAUCUUUCUUUUGCCACCUUGUUGAAGAACAUCUAAGAGAGAAUUCACAUAAUUAGCUUUUCCAUUUUACAACUCUCUUCCUAGAAAUUGAUAGGCUUCAUUUCAGGUAUCUUGAAGUGUUUAAGUAAGGUAUGCCAAACCGAUACUGAGACCUGUACUGCUCUGCGGGCGGGUCGGUACGGUAUUGGUUCGGUAUUGUAUCGAUACACGGUAUGCUUGGGCGUGCCAGUUUCGAACCGACAUGCCCAAUUUUUUUAAAAAAUUUUUCAAGUUUAAUUAAUUGGUAAUUACUUUUUUUCAACUUUUUCAAUGAUUUUAAGUAUAAUUUGAUAUUUUUUUUGAUAUUUUUUGAUGUCUCUAUGAUCCAGGUUUAACCUAAGUGAUGUAUUUUGUUGUUUAAAGUGAUGCAAAAUAUAAAAUUAUUAGUAAGAUGUUGCAUGCUACAAGAAACAACAUGAAAUAUCCUAAAAUCAACUAGUGAGAUAAAAAAUAUAACAUAAUACAAUCAAUUAUAUAUAUUUAAAGUACAUCAUACAUAUGAUAUCUAAAAUCUCGUCGAGUGGCGAUACUUUUCGUAGAUAUCUGGAUUAUUAAUAUAGUUAGGAGGCAUAUCAGCCCACAUCUCUAACUAAGUGGCAUUGUAGUCUUGUAUGUUCAUCUCAUAAGGAACGCGCUUUGGAUUUUAAGUGCUCUAAGUUUUAAGCACUUUGGAAUUUGUCGCUGAAGCUCUAGCUCUGAGUGAUACUGAUAAUACGGCUGUGAAUGAGCCAUCCAAAUAAGCCGACAACAAAAUCUGAUCUGUAAGAUGCUCCAGACUGCGUAGGAUAGUAGCCAUUGAAAGACGAUGCCUUGAACGCACCAUAUCCAUAUCCGUAUCUAUAUGGGUCAUAGGCUAUCUGUGGCUGCGGAUAAUAGGAGAUCCAAUAUGCAACUCGGAACCUGAUGUCUUUGGAUCCUACUCCAUGUGCGAGGUCAUCUGUAGUUGCAACGUGUCCUCCUAAAUGAUCUUAAGGAGCCCGUCUUCUAUGUGUAAUGGUAUCCUCACGGGCUCUACCAAAUCGUAUAUUGUGGUCCUUAUUCUGUGUAGGAUGCGUAAACUGGGACUCACCGGUGAAUCGAAGACCACACUACGGUCGUGUCUCAUAAACGAUGGUCUUAUAUCCUCCACUUUCUUUCUGGCUAACAGAUUCAUGACCAUCAGAACUGUGCUCCUGAUCUCCGAAUCUAAGUGAACUAGCUCCACCACUCUUCAUAAGGGUUGCAGGUUCCUUUUAUAUUUUUUUUGGUGUGCUGAGUAGCUGCCUGCCUACCCCUUGUGCCCCUUUUUGCCUAUUUGCCCUUCGUGCUUCUCUCUGCCUGCUUACUCUUCGUGCCCCUUUCUGUUUGGCUAUAUUGGGGGGAUGGAUACUACCCUCCUGACCGAGUCGACUGAGCAGCGUAGUGGUAUUGUUUAAGCGUCGCUCGAUCAUAUCUUUGAGCGGAUAUCUCAGACAAAAAAUUAUGUGAUGACCGACUCUCCAGUGAUCCCUGUAGCUAUGGCUGAUUAGCUGGAAGAAUGCGUGGAAUAUUGUGAUCUGCCCAUUGUCUUGCAUUGAUCCUAGCCUCGCUUGCUAUGAAACUGGCUAGUCAUGGAGGCGAUCCUCGCUCAUCAAGCUCCGACUCUUGCUGCUGGCUCAGAAGCUGUCUGAUCAUAAGAUCAUCCUCAUCGUCAACGAAAGCACUAUGGAUCAAAUCAUGUACUUUAGCUCCACUUUCUUCUGAAUGCACUUCAGCCUGAACCUCAGAUUGUAGUGAACAUAUACAAGAUCGUUGAGGCGCUUCUGUGCCAGACGGUUCCUCUACUUGUUGUGGAUGAGGGCGAAGGUGGAUAGUUGUGCUCACAACCACUCGAGAAGACCGUCAGGGAGAGGAUUCAGAUAGCUAGCCGCUAAAGUUUUCUCGCGGACAAAUCAAAACGAAUCCAUAGCUACAAAAACAUUAAAGAAAAUUACAUAUAAAAUAGUAUCAUAUUAGUAACCAUCUAAGUCCAGGUAAAUGUCCUCCUAAUGUGUAAUAUACCUAGAUUCAUACUUUUCUUACAAUAGCUGCCGUGAUUCUAAAGAUCAAAAUAUUUUAAUCUGUGAAAAAGAACCAUGUUGUUAUAUGUUAAUAAUUGAAGAUACCAAUUAACUUAUACAUGUCAUUUAAGUUAAUUUACCUCUUCUAGACAGAGGGCAACGACUUUUAUAUCAAGCUUCAUCUUGUAAAUCACAUUACGCAGAGCGGCCAGAAGUUCGUCAUCCAUAUCGAUUCAAGAUGCAAGUUCCUACUCAUCUGGUAAUCCUACUGCGGCUCAAUGAUAUCGAUGUCUCCUAGGCAUACAUCGGAUCCACCUUCUUAAUUUGUAUCUUGGUCCUCUCCAUCAUAUGAUAUAAGAAACUUAUCUGAAGGUACCUUUUGUUGUCCACGAUCUAAAGCACUUUAUAUAAUGGUUAAUAGCCUUCAUUAUCUUUCUCGGCCUAUUGCCAGAAUGUCUACCUUGUCACCAAGUCCUCGACAGUGCUUUCUUUAGUGCUAGCCCUCGCAAAUUUACUUUUCUGCCACUCGAGACUGACAAACAUCUGAUAUAGAGAUACUUUCCUCUCAAGAAAGUUAUCAAGUGCAACGUAGCUGAUAGCAAACUAUAUCACUCCUAG